rnacentral:rRNA from 1 species
CCUACGGGUGGCAGCAGUAGGGAAUAUUGCUCAAUGGGGGAAACCCUGAAGCAGCAACGCCGCGUGAAGGAUGACGGUUUUCGGAUUGUAAACUCCUUUUGUUAGAGAAAAUAAUGACGGUAUCUAACGAAUAAGCACCGGCUAACUCCGUGCCAGCAGCCGCGGUAAUAAGGAGGGUGCAAGCGUUAUUCGGAAUCAAUGGGCGUAAAGAGCGCGUAGGCGGGAUAGCAAGUCAGAUGUGAAAUCCUAUGGCUCAACCAUAGAACUGCAUUUGAAACUGGUAGUCUAGAGUAUGGGAGAGGUAGGUGGAAUUCUUGGUGUAGCGGUAAAAUGCGUAGAUAUCAAGAGGAAUACUCAUUGCGAAGGCGACCUGCUAGAACAUAACUGACGCUGAUGCGCGAAAGAGUGGGGAGCAAACAGGAUUAGAUACCCUUGUAGUC